GGAGAGGUGGCAGAGCUAGGUUUAUUGUGACGGUCUCGAAAACCGUUGUACCGAAAGGUACCGUGGGUUCGAAUCCCACCCUCUCCGCCA
rnacentral:tRNA from 3 species